rnacentral:rRNA from 1 species
GAUGAACGCUAGCGGGAGGCUUAACACAUGCAAGUCGAGGGGUAAAUGGUAGCAAUACUAUGAGACCGGCGGACGGGUGCGUAACGCGUAUGCAACAUACCUUGUGCAGGGGGAUAGCCCGUGGAAACGCGGAUUAAUAUUCCAUAGUCCAGCUAUAUCGCAUGGUAUAGUUGGUAAAGAUUUAUCGGCACAAGUUUGGCAUGCGUCUGAUUAGCUUGUUGGUAGGGUAACGGCUUACCAAGGCUAUGAUGUUUAGGGGUCCUGAGAGGGUGGUCCCCCACACUGGUACUGAGACACGGACCAGACUCCUACGGGAGGCAGCAGUGAGGAAUAUUGGGCAAUGGGGGAAACCCUGACCCAGCAACGCCGCGUGAAGGAAGAAGGUUUUCGGAUUGUAAACUUCUGUCCUUGGUGAAGAGAAGAAGACGGUAGCCAAGGAGGAAGCCCCGGUAACUACGUG